UGCCAGCCGCCGCGGUAAGACGAGGGGCCCAAGCGUUAAUCGGAAUCACUGGGCUUAAAGGGUGCGUAGGCGGAUGCGCAGGUGUCAUGUGAAAUCCCUCGGCUCAACCGGGGAACUGCACGGCAAACCGCGUGUCUUGAGGCAGGUAGAGGUCGUCGGAACGAUAGGUGGAGCGGUGAAAUGCGUAGAUAUCUAUCGGAACGCCAAUGGAGAAGUCAGGCGACUGGGCCUGUCCUGACGCUGAGGCACGAAAGCGUGGGGAGCGAACGGGAUUAGAUA
rnacentral:rRNA from 1 species